rnacentral:lncRNA from 1 species
UCUUUAGAUAAGAGGACCCAACAUUCUUAUCCCACAAAGUUCUCUGGUAUAAAUUGCCUAACUCUGUGCCUGGCUUUGAUUAUUUUGAUAAUAUUUUGUUUUCAUAUCAGUAACUUAGAAGGCAUUGCCCUGCCCUGUUCCAUACCUUUACCCUAUGUCCUCUUAUGCCGUCAAGCCAUGUAUACCUCUUGAUGUAUUAUUAUCUUGCCUUUUCCUCCUGUGGUAUUCUCGGGAUCAUUAUGUGUGCAUCUUAUCUAACAAGGUUUCCAUGUGCAGUAGUGACAGGUUCGUCCUUGUUUCACGACAGAGCCAGUGUGGAGGUAGUAGACAGAGGUCUGUUCAGGAGAGCCAGCCAGUGCAUUCUCCUUGCCUUUAUACUUUGUUCUUAGAGUACUGUCCCGUCCCCAGCAGAUUCCACUUCUCUCUUGACCAGAAUGGACUCAGGAUAUUGACUUCAGAGGCCACAUUCAGAAUAUAAUUUGUCCCAUCCUGCUUCCCAAACCAUCCCUGCCUUACCUCCUUCCCAAACAAAA